ACUGGAAAGUAACGCAAGGUCACCAGGAAGGAAAAGGAAUUCACUGCUUGGUCACAGUCCUUCGUCUGGGCUGGGAGUCACUCAGACUUGGAUGCAUGUCUGACUUUGGCAGGCCUCCAGGGCGCUGCCCUCGCGGGAUGAAACACUGUGCUUGCAUGAUUUCUGUGUGGCUUCCUUUGGCUGCUCCAGUGACCCCGUCCUCUUCACAGUCAGCAACCCUCUGAAUCAGAUGAUGUUAAUAUCUUCAUUCUCAAGGAGAGGCUCUGAGAAGUUAAAUAACCUGUCAACAGUCACAAAGCAACUGUGUGGCAGAAUCAAGAGUGAACUGCAUCUAUCAUUCCUUCAUGAAACAGAAGAGUGAGACGUCUCUCGAGUGGCCUGGUGGACUCUGGAGAAGGCCUGGAAUGAGGAGUCAUCAUUGAGGGAGCGUAUUAGUGGUCUGUCACACUGCCUUGGCUAUUUGUGGUGGUCAUCCCACCAGUCCUCCUCUGUCAUGUACGGG